UGGGGAAUCUUGCACAAUGGGCGAAAGCCUGAUGCAGCGACGCCGCGUGCGGGAUGAAGGCCUUCGGGUUGUAAACCGCUUUCAGCAGGGACGAGGCCGCAAGGUGACGGUACCUGCAGAAGAAGCCCCGGCUAACUACGUGCCAGCAGCCGCGGUAAUACGUAGGGGGCAAGCGUUAUCCGGAGUCAUUGGGCGUAAAGCGCGCGUAGGCGGUUUGUUAGGUCAGGAGUUAAAUCUGGGGGCUCAACCCCUAUCCGCUCCUGAUACCGGCAGGCUUGAGUCUGGUAGGGGAAGGCGGAAUUCCAGGUGUAGCGGUGAAAUGCGCAGAUAUUUGGAAGAACACCGGUGGCGAAGGCGGCCUUCUGGGCCACGACUAACGCUGAGGCGCGAAAGCUAGGGGAGCGAACAG
rnacentral:rRNA from 1 species